rnacentral:rRNA from 1 species
CAGAGGGGCAAGCGUUAUUCGGAAUUAUUGGGCGUAAAGGGCGCGUAGGCGGCUUUGCAAGUGACGGGUGAAAUCCCUCGGCUUAACCGAGGAACUGCCUGUCAGACUGUGAGGCUUGAGACCGGGAGAGGUGAGUGGAAUUCCCAGUGUAGCGGUGAAAUGCGUAGAUAUUGGGAGGAACACCAGUGGCGAAGGCGGCUCACUGGACCGGAACUGACGCUGAGGCGCGAAAGCGUGGGGAGCAAACAGGAUUAGAUACCCUGGUAGUCCACGCCGUAAACGAUGAGUGCUUGGUGUAGCGGGUAUCGACCCCUGCUGUGCCGAAGUCAACACAUUAAGCACUCCGCCUGGGGAGUACGGUCGCAAGACUG